CGGCGGUUGUGGGGGGGUGCUUGGGUGCGACAGUGGCCGCCUGCGCGCGGUGCCCGCGGCAGCGCUCGGUGCCCCCGCGGGGAGGGAGGGAGGGACCGGGCGGGCACCCCCGUCCCGCCGCCGCCCCCCGCCCCGCCUCUUCCGCGCUUUGCUUCCGGGUUGUCGGCCGUUACCGAGAGCGCCGCCGAUUGGCCGGGAGCCGUUGCUAAGUGACGGCGUCGGGGCCCGUCGGGGCCAAGGCCUGCGGGCCGGGGGGUGUCCCGGGGGCGGCAGAGCCCGCCCCGGUUGGCCGAGCGCUCCCGCCCGCGUUCCAUCGGCUCACGGGGUUCCCCCGGCGCGCUGUUGGUGUAGCGAAGCUCGGAACUCCCCGCACCGCUGCUGUGGAAACCACCGCUCAUGCCGCAGGGGUCAACGUCCACCCGGGGACUGAAGGUGCUGGUCAUACCAUUGAUUCCAUUGAAGCAGUGAGAAAAUAUGUCACUGACUUCAAUAUGAGCAUGACCUCUCCUUCACUUCUCACACUUGUUGAUUCUGGAGGCCUUAAAUCUUCCGAAGAUCACUGAUCCGCCAGGUCAAGUAAAAUUGUAAGUCAUUUUCCAGCUAACUUGGGUUAGGUCUUCCACGCUGUUCCUGGAAAGGAACAAAACGUUCAGCUUGGUAGAUAUGAAACAUGAAUAAUCAUUCCACAGCUGUCUGCAAGCAUGCAAUUCCCACAGCCAGAGCUAGAAUAAUAUAUGGGAAAUCAGCUGUUAGAAAUGCUGUUUGGGGAACACACCUAAUUUCUUUAUAAAGAAAGAUGUUUUUCCCUGGUUGACUACAUGUGAUGCCUGCCGCGAAUGAAUUUUAAAGGGACAAAGGUACAAAUGUAUCAGAGAUUUUCUCUGACAAGUUUGUGGCUCUCAGUCAGCGGAGAAAAGAAAACGUCCACAUGACGAGAAUAAUAAUCCCGCUCCCUGGAUGCUGGCAGCAGACUAACACACGGCAAUGAACUCCAAGGAAAGCAGCAACAAAAUAUAGAUUGUCUUUUUCUUCCUGCAACAGACUAGCAGGCACAGAAGCAUAACAUUAAAUAUAAAUACAUUUUAUUCUCUUUUUCAUAACAUAGCUGAUCGGAGAUUUAGCCUGAAGUGGAAAGUUUGCCCAUUGUUACCGGGCAAGGAAACAAAUAGCGUCCUAGAAGCGGAGUGAUGCUUCGACACAAUGCUAAUUUGUCUAACACACAAUACAGUAAUUAACUCCUGCCUCUAGGCAGACACUUAACUGUCCAUGUAAAUGGAUGAGGUUGUUCAAGGACGACACUGGAUUUACAGCAAAGAGGCAGACUGAGCACGAACAGAAAUCCCAGGAGCUGCUAAUGGAGAACAAACCUACACAAAAACCACCAGCGCAAGGGCCAGAAAAGAGCAGAAGCACUAUGACAGAAGCGUGGAAUUCAAAGACGUGAGAGAAGCAAUUGAGAGAUGUAAUCAGAAGUAUUAAACAUGGUGCGAAAAUUUAUCUAAAAAGCAGCAUUUCGGUACUUGGAUGAAAACCAGACAGACUGCAAAACAGGAGAUGAUUUUUUUUUUUGUGAAAACUGUUGUGAGCUGUAUAUGUGGUAGGCUAAAGGAAUGCUCAGAGGGCUUUAAAAUGUUUUGUUAAAACAAUGAGCAUGAAGAUGAGACUGAUAGGGAAUGGGUACUUGUCUCAAGAUCUGGGUGUAUUUAGUCCACCCAACGCCUAGUGAACACACUGGUGACAUUCUGCAGCCAGGAAAACUGGGAAACGUCCAAAAUAGCAUUGAAGAGAUAUAUAACCUGGGCAGAAUAUAGGUUUCUACUAAUAACUGUAAAAUUAACAUUUAAUAUACGCAUAAAGUAAUGACUGGUUAGAGAGUUCCUGUUAGAGAUAUAAUAGGAAAUGUAAAUUAAUACAGGAGUGAAUAAAUGUGCCAAAGGAGAGCUGGAGCCUCAAUUCAAACUGCAGGAUCAUCCAGCCAAACCAGCAUGAAGACACCUAUAUACAGCAUUACAAUCGCCAUCAACCAUUGUCACCAAAAUCAAGGCAGAUUCCACAUGGAGCCUGUAGCGGAGUAAAGCAGAGAUGGGGGUGCCAGGAGGAGGCAGGUCCUGGCCACUGGGCAAGCACUGGCUCCAAGGGGUCAGUCACGGCGUGCGGUACAAAGCACAGCAGAAGAGCGGAAGGAGGAGGUUGCUCCAAGAUGCAAAUCCUAAAGGAAGAAUAAAAAUAUCAGUUGCUGGAGAAAUGGAAAAAACGUUUGGAAAAUUCUAUGCAAAGAGAUGCGGGCGCUUCGAUGUGGCAAACCAACACCACAUUCAUGAACGCGCCACGAUGCGGGACAUUAAAACUGAACGCUUUUGUGGGAAAAGCCUUAAUGUUUAGUAAGAAGAAAGUUUACAUCAUCUUCAUCACAGAAGAAGCUGGCAGAAGCUGCUGCCCCAUAAAGCAGUUUAAAAUACAUAAAAAGAAAAAAGUAGAUAUGUUCAUUUUACAGGUCAUGCAACGUGAGUUACCUGGAAUAAAUUCUUAUUUCCUUAUGCUUCACUUCAAAAAGUGUGUUUAUAUAGAUAAUAACACUCAGUUGGCUGUAAAUGCCAACCAAAAAAAAAAAAGAUUGAUUCUUUGGUUGGUUGGUUUUUAUUAAAAAAAAAUAUAAACCAACAAAAUAGUAUACAAACUGCAAACAGAAUCAAGAGAUAAACUAUGUUUUCAAUCUUUUUACCUGGAAGUUUUUUUUAAUCUCAUCUAACACAAAACAUUGGAGUUGUUCUUCUCUCUCCUUUUUUUAACUAGAAGUUGCCUUGGUUAUGAAUUCAUUUCAAGGGCUUCUUGUGUGGCUACAAAGUUAAACACUGGGGUACGGAACAACAAAAUAAAUUAAGAGAAAUUAAAAGGACACUAAGCAGUCAUUUUCAUUGUGUAUAAUGGAAAGUAGUCCUUUAUUUCUUCAGUAUUUACACCGUUUAUUCAACUUUUCAUUGAAUACAGUGAAAAAGGUAAAGAUGAAAUUAAGAAGUCUUACAUACUCGUAAGUAAUUUUGAAUUUUCAUAAUUAAAUAUCAUUGUAAUUAAUUGAUUAAAAAAUUAAUCACAAAUUUCAAUCAAGAUUAAGAUUAUUUCCUCCAUUUCUAGCUCGUUUAGAAAAAAGGCAACAGAACGUUACAGACAGUUUCACAUGUUAAGAGAAAAUUCCUUCCUCUUGUAUAUGAAGGUACUUUUUUAAACGUAUAAUUUCAGUAGCUAUUAAACCAAAUUGCUUUAUUAUACCAAUACCAGAGCAAUAUAAAAAUCUAAAAUGGGUUUAUAAAUUAUUUAUAUUUAAUAAAAAUGUAUUUCAAGCACCAUUAUUUUUAUUUAUCCAAGCUCGCUUGUGUAGCAAACUGCAUGUUAUGCAUGGCCUUGGUUUGAUUAAAUCCCACCGCAGGAAAUUCAAAUGCAAACUUAGAGCCCCUGUGUAUUAACCAUCAAGUCUCUCCUGUCCAUUUAUAUCAUAUGCUAAAACUGCUGAGUCCUUUUCACAAGGCUUUCACAAUACCAUUGAUAAAAUGUCACCUUUUAUUAGCACAUUCAUUCUCAGAUACACUAACGUGCAUUGAAAACAUAAAAUGCACAUCAUUCAUAUUUGAUUUGAAAGUUACAUCCUACCUCCUGAACUUUCAAGCUGCUAGUGCACUUGGGUCAAGAUUCUGUUAAUAAAAUGCUAUAGAAUAGUGGCAGGUAGAGAGGGAGUUAACUGACUACAAGCAUUUGAUAAAUUGGUACCUGUAAUUUCUAUGGUUUGCUGCCUUGGGCAAAUGAGCUCAAGAGGAGGCAAGUAACUGCAAGACCCAUUUGUCCAACUGGGUGAUUGGAGACAAAGAUGAAAUGCAAUGUGCUCACGUGUUUCUUACAGCUUUACGAUUUUAAUUCGUUUUGUCAGAGAAAUACACUUUGGUCCAUCAAACAGUGUGAUAACUAAACUAUUCAAAGAGAAAAGGAACAUUUCUGUCCUGUUGAUAUGUUUGUUAAUACGAUUUAGUAGAGAUAUGAUUUCAUGAGCAGUCAGAUGCAUAGUUUUUCAGUUUAACCACUAAGGUUAUGCUUGUGUCUAGAAAUGGUCAUUUUUGAUAGUAAAGAAAUAGAAUAUUAAACACACAAAACAAAUAAUUUGAGUUAAUUAUUCAUAUCAUCUAAUAUAUACACAUUAAGUGACUCUUCUGACAAUUAAGACUUAUUUUCUAUUAUUUACAUAUACACUUGUCUAUUUGAUUUAUUUGUUAGGCUUUUAGAAGAUAAAUUUGUAGAUCAUUUGAAGUCAGACCUAUUUUAAGUCAACUAUUUUGGAAAACAUUAUUCCAAAAUAACAGUAUCCUAAUGCUAUAAAUAAGCAGAGCGUGUUCCCAAGCUUUGCACAAGUCCCAAAACUUAAUUACAGUUUUGAAGUCUCAGUAUGUGCACCAUGUGAGACCAAGGCAUGUUUUAAUUAUUGCAAUGGCAAUACCGUGUUGUACCUGAGUUCUGCGCUCUGGGGAACGCUGCUGUUCACACCAGCCAUAUCCUAUGAUCGACAUCCAUGUCUGCAAAUGCAAAGGACAAGGAGCUUUUCAGAGUUUCCAAAAGAACCUCAGACAACCACAUUUUUAUGUGCAGCAGAGCGACCAGAAAAAAGACAGGAACGUUCAACUUGGGCUUCUCUCAGGUACCAGCAUCAUAUGGAAGAGAUAAAAAUACAAGUAAAGAAACAGCAGGUGAUCUAGACUGAAACUGCCUUUUGCUCCUGGAACUGUUCUUGGCUUAGAGAGGAAGAAAAGAGAAGUGUCCCACCUCGGAGCUGACACAAUGGAGUGGGGAGAGGAACGCCAAACUGGCACCCUGGUCCCAGCUAUAAUUCCAGGGACUUUGCCACAUGUGAGAUGUUUGCAGUUGUGAUGCCCGUGCUUGCACAAGCCUUUUCAGGCCUCUGCCUGCAGCUGUUGGAAACAGAAAUACCUUUUGGCCUCAGUCAUUCUGUAUCAGAAUAAACUAAGAUGUAUUGCAGAAAGUACUUAAUAAAGAGGAAGAACUUCAAGCGGGAAAUCACUUUUCAGUAUGACACUUGAAAACGUGGGAUUCCUGUUCAGCCUACAAUGUCCUCAGUCAAAAAAAGGAGAUUGAGAGCAUAAAUAGAAUGAAACAGUCAGAGUGACCUCAACACAGAAGAGGAAAAGAAAAAAAAGCAAAGCUUAACUAUAUGCUCAAACUCGAAGUACAUAAAAGUAAUUUGGCAUCACUGAUGUAUGGUACCACCUUUGGCAACUUGACCUCUGCUGGCUGCGUACAACCUGCUUAUAAUCAAGAGAGUCACAUCAUCAUUGCAAGGACAGAAGAUAAUUAAAUGUGAUCAGGUCUAGCAGAGGAAAGCAUAUUAAUCUGCAGUAGUAGAAGAAAUAUUUCUUAAUCACAAUCUUCCUUAAAUGAUUGCUUCCUUGCCAGAAAAAGAACAUCCUGGCAUUAGAAAGGUUUACAUAGGUUGACUUUAAGAAGGGGUAAACAGAUGAUUUUGUUGUUUUGGUUCUUCCAUUGUCACCGCACUCAUCUACAUUUAUUUGUAUUUUAAGGCUGCAAGGGGCAGAGAGUGAGUGAUUUAUUCCAACACGCUAUGCCAGAUCCCCAGAAUACAGCUGAGCAACUGGGACUCGUUGGGCUGGGAACUAAUUGGUUGCUAAAAACAAUAAAAGAUGGGAGUACUUUUAAAAGACAUCUAACAUGCUGAUUAGAUAAAAUUAGAUUGAAAUGACAUUAUUAAAGAAAGCUUUCAAGUGUCAAAAAUGAAAGAAGGUCAUAUAGUCUCCACUGAGGAAAUCUAGAUCUCACCAGAGGGGACAUCCACUUUCAUUAUUCUGCUAUUUUAUCUGUUUUGUCUUUCACAACAACUUUUCAAGCAGACAGGGAAAAAAAAAGAAAAGCUAAGAGAUAUGGUUGAGAGUUGAAAGAAUGAGCACAGAGAGUAGAUAAAAGAUUUAAGAAUUGGAAAGACAAGUUAAAAUUAUAUAUACUGGAAAGUUGGUACAAAAUAGUUAUUGAUGAAAAGUUGAAUGUAAAUGUUAUGCAACUUACUACUUUCAUUAAAAGCGAUAUCAUGCAUCAUCAAAAUCAGUGGAAUUAUACUACCGCAAAUAUAUGUUUAGUUCUCAUAUAAGAAAUAACUGAAUUAAUAUUUCAGCUCAUUGCUUUUCCACCUUUCUCCUUUGUUUUGUUUAUUUUGGCUUCUUUCCCCUCAAAUGAUGCCAUCUGCUCAUGGUUAUCCAUUUCUGACUGAUUCUGUUGUUUUAAAUUAAUCAAUUCCUACCCACCUUUUGUAGUUCGAAGGCAAAUCUCUUCUCAAGGUUAUAAAAGUACAUCUGCUAACUAACAUGAGCGAGAUAGUGCUUGUGAUACAUGCGGAAUUAGAGCUAGAAGAAAACGAAAGAAUUACAAAUUCACUGUGGCUGGAGGGCUGGCGGGAGGUCCCUACUCCAAGUUUUUGCCUAAAGCAAGUUUGUGCUGAAUUCUCAUCAGGGUGCUCAGGGCUUUUACAUGUUGGGUGCUGAAAAACUCCAGGGAUAGCAGCUCCACAGCCUCUCUUGGCAACCUGUCCCAACUCCUGAUAGAUAUGCUGAAGUUUACCACCAUCUUUCUUGCAUUUUCAUCUUCAAGAUUUUUAAAAUUAGCUUAUACAAUUUAAGUCCAAUUAACUGAUGUACCACAAAACAUAAAACUAUAAGAGCGUAUCACUUUUACGCAGUACCUUCCUUGCAUUCCAUUUUGGCCUUCAUACUGGAUUGUGAGGCUUUCAGACAAAGAAUUGUUUCUCUUCACUUCUGUGGAGCCCAACAUGAAAACAAAACAAAGGGGGGGGGGUGUGCUUCAACUUUGUUGAAGCAAUGACAUGGUUAUUUUCCAGGCUAUUUUUCUUUCUAACUUUACUCUUUUGUCUUCUCUUUUAUUUCGUUUGCUUCACCUAACCUUUCCUGUUACUUAUUGCUCAUUUUUGCAUUAGUAGUACUCUUGAGUUUUAUCCCCUAUAAAUACAAUGCUUAUUCCCGCUCUUUUUCUUGGAAUGCUUCUAGCAUUGCAAAAGCAUAUAUAUGUUUUCCUUAUAUUUAUCUUAAUGCAAUACACCCCAUAUCCACUUCAGUACUUUCCUCUCAACUAAGCUGUUCUAAAUGAUUUGUUUGGUGUGAGGGUAGCACAGUAAUGUAAUGUAAAUAACUGCUUUACCUCUGAUCACCCGAGUAUCAUAACAGUUUGUGUACUGGUUUUAGUUUAUGUUAUAUCACCUGGCAAAAAUAGGUUCAUAAUUUGGGAGUGCAAUUUUUUAGGAGAUUUGCAAUAAUACUCAGACUGAAUGCUGGUGAUUAAAAUGUCCUCCUCAUCAAUUGUAUUUUAUUGCUUUGUGUUACUAAAUAGCAUGUUAAUGUAUCAUUGGCUUUAUAGCACAUGAAAUACUAGGAAAGCAGGAUAUUUACAUCAUAUUUCUUACAAAAUGUUUUCAUUCAGACUUUCAUUUUUUAUAGUACUCAUCACCUUUAGUUUUAACAUACAUUUUAGCUCAUUACAAUAUUUUUUGUUGCUAACAUAUUAGUGGCUUUUCCUAAUGUGCCCAAAUCAGUGCAAAUCUUGUUAUUAGCAAACCGUAAUCCACAUGGGUUUCUUGAUCUGCAGGAAUCAGGUUUAUUUUUAUUCCUCCCCUCAAGAAAUCAGCCUGUGAGCUUAAGAGCGCAGCCGCCUGCACUUACGAUUUGGUUGUCCCACCCUGGCCACCACAGAUGUCAAAGGCCACGUGCUCCCAAGUGACUUGUCACCAGAAGUAGCAGAUGCCAGGUCUGCACACAGCAGCCAAGUCCAGCCACUGUGUCACAGUACUGAGCAGGGCCACUGGUGGGACACACGCUCUGGUGUUUGUCCCCAGGCCCCCAGCAAUGAAUUUGGUAAACGGUCACUACCUCACAGAAAUCGUGCUCCCUCCCACCACCACACACCUUACUACAGGUGGACUUACUAGUUAUUAGCUGAGCCACAAAUGUCUCUCAUCUUCUGUCCAUCUUUCUGGUAGCUGGUCACCAAUACAGAAGUGGUCAGUGAAAUACAUUUGAACACGUAGCAUCUGAAACGGGUAGAACAAAUGUGAGCUCAUUUUUAACUCCUGAGUCUGAAAAACUGCUUCUUACAGUAAGUGUUUUCUCAUGCGACAGUUAAAAAUUGCAAUUUUCCAUAAAAUUAAUUAAAUUAUGAUACAAUAUAAUUAUUGUGGUGAAAUAUAUGAUUAUUCUUAGAAAAAUUAAAUAGCAAUAAGCUGCUGUUAUACACAACAGCAUAUAAUGUCAGUGUCUUGUAUAUUGCUGCUUGUAGGGCAAGAAACUGAAAAGUACUCCCCAAGACUGAUAAAUCAGUCCAGGUUCUUACACUAGCAAUCUGGUGGAAAUGGAAAUUCACCAAAUACAGCUACAGUUGCCCCACAAUAUUUGAGUAAAACUACAUUUAGCAAAGUGGUCAUUAAUAUUGGAUCUGCUCAUUUUUUGUAUCUCACUCAAUAUUCCAUAGAUGUGAUUUGUGAAGAUGCCACUUAUUAAAUGUUCAGUUUUGAGUGUUGAGCUAUAGCUGUGAUGUAUAUAAGAAGUGCUUAUCAAAUACUCGCUUCCAGAUGCAAUUAUUUUAGUAGUGCAUUGUCAAGGUUUAAGGCACUCAUCUUAUUUGAAACAAGAAACUUUAUCAAAGAAGGUUCUUAUCUAUGAACAGUAUUAUUGUAGGCUGCUCUCCAUAAGCUUUUUAUUGCUAAUCUUUUUCUGCUAGAGAUAUGAGCGUAUUUUAGACUGAACCUUCUUUUGCUGAUGCUUUGCAUGUGGAGUAACAAACAGUUUUACCAAUAUACAAUCCACCUGAAACCAGUGUGUAUUUAUCAAAUAUUUCAGUUAGUUCUUUGAACAUUGGCCUAAGUUGCAUUUGAAAACCAUGUUAACUUCUGUGGAUAGGUAAAUGCCAUCAGAAAGAAAAAUCCUGUAUUUAUCAUUAAGAUUUUCUGUAGUUCAUGAAAUACAUUGUACACAGCUUUCUGUGCACAAAAUAGGUAUUCUAAUUUUUAAAAAUAUUAUGAUUACAGACUGCGUCUGUAAAGGUAGCAAAACAAUUUUCAUGAUGAUUUUUCACACAUCUUAUUUGUUGAUCAUUUCCCAUAUUUAACCUCACCCUAAACAUUAAAAACCACAGAAUUUUAUGAAAAAAAUAUUGGUUAAUCAUAACAGAUUUUAAAACACAAACACCUCAAACAUACCUUCUCAGAUCUUAAUAGUAAAAUGCUCCUUCUGGCAAUCUAAUUGGACAAUUUAGUGUCUUGUAGAAGGAAAACCAGCUACUCAGACAAACAAAGAAGUUCGAUAAAUCAGUAGUUCAUGUUGUAAACUCACGUCUCUGCAAAACUUCAGUCUCUUCACAUUGCUCUAGUUGUACAAAAUGGGGUAGAAAUAGCCUCAGGGAAGAAUCCCAGAGUAAUGAGGUUAGUUGAAGAAGAGCUGACAGAACAACUCUCUGUCAGUCCCCCAACACUAACCCACACAUGUAGGUGCAGCAGGUAAAAUUCACCUGGAUCAAUCAAAAGAUCAGCUACAAUUUACCUAUAGAUAAAUUGUGUUUUCUACUUCUGUUUUUCUGGUUAAACAUAACACUUAAGAUAGCAGCAGAAGGUACACACCAGAACAUUCAGGAGAUGUUAAAAUGCUAGAUUAACAGUGGACUUAGAAAUAUAUCGCUACAGCUGCCUUUGCUGUAAGUUUUCACAAUAUUCCCCUUUCUAUAAUAACAAUAUCUGCUUAACUUUAAAUUUUUUUUCUGUAUGAAAUAUGGAAAAACAGAAUACAUUUUAGUUCGCCCUGGCCAUUUGAUGGCAAUAUACUUGCUAGAUAUACAAUGUCAGAAGGAUAAUUAAUUGUGACAUUGCCAAAGGGACACAACACUUCUUCUGAUAAAUUCUUUCCAUCUUUCCAAAGGGUUACAGCCUGUAUUGCAGCUUUAAGCUGGUUUAUUGCCUAGAGCAAAUUUGAUUUUCAUAGACUUACACAAGCUAUGGAAAAGGUGAUCUAGAAUGGUUACAUGCUUAAAAUGUGAAAAACCUUCCAGGGAAAAUAGAAAAGCUGCCGCACUUGAACUUCUUCAUGCAAAUAAAGUCUUACCUGAAUAUAAAUGAUGUACAUUCUCGAACAAGACUGCCAAGCUGAAAACAAAACACAUUAUCAAUAUAAUACCAAGAUAAUAUAGUUUGAUAGACAUUAUUUAAAGCCUAGAUUAAGAAGGCCAGUAGAAUGCAAAUCAUGCAUAGAAAGAAAUCCCAGAAAAUAGAAAUACUAGCAGUAGUUACUUAGCAAAAAUCAAUUUAAACCCACUCUAAAAAUUUAAAGUUCCAACUUAUAAACCCUAGGGAAUUUUUUCAUUAUUUUUUAAUUAAUUCUCCAGUAUAGACAUAAGGCUGAUAUCAAAGUGCUUUUGAAAGUACAACUGGCUUUGCUUGAUGAACCAAUAAAAGCAAGUCUAGCCAAAAUGUUCAUUUACUGAUGCUACUCUGCCAGCAAACUGUUUCAUAUGUAUUAUCCAGCCUCAUACGAGAUCUGUUUCUGCCUUUCUUUCUAUGUUUAAUUAGCCAUCACCCUCUACAUGCAAUUUCACAUUAUGUUAUUCAAAUCGAGUUCUGCAGUGAUUCAGCAGUGAUACCUACAGGUUUAUACUGUCUGCAUUAACCUGACUUUCUUUGGUACGCUAUACUAUAGCUUACUAUAAGUAAAUGGUAUAGAACUGUUAAAACUGCUCUGAUGUUAGAGUCUUCUUGGAUUCUCAGGGUAUAUUCCUGCAUCCGAGCAGGAUUAGAGAGAAGCCUGAAGGGGUUUUUAGUCCCAAAGAGCAGCUGCUGCAGACAAAAGUCACUGCUGCCCUUAAUGAUGGUUGAAUCGCACCCAGGGUCAUAAAUGCCAUUUCAAAAGUGAAGUCAAGUUCCAAUUGAAAAAGUAAUGCCUUGAAAGGGAAAACUAAAAUGGGAUAAGGAACCACCUGAACACAAGAAGCUGCGCUCCAAAUUCUGAUUAAGUUAUAGUGAGGAUACUGAAAUGUUAUUUCUUCGAAGAAUUAUAACAAUCUCCCUUUAUAGAAAAGGUUUUUAUAGGAGUUUCCUUCUGGAAGAAAAAGUAGAUCAAGAAUAGGUCCAAACACAAAAUCACAAUGAAGGGCAUUAACAUGAUUUAUAUCAGUAGGCACAGAGAGUGUUUUGGUGGGUGGAGGUGAGUGGGAAAUUGUGUUUUGUUUUUAAAUAAGGAAACACCAGCAUGCUUUUCGGAAACCACCAAAAUAGUUCAGUAGUCAGCUUAGAUAUGAGAAAGAAAAAAACUGCAGGGAAAAGCAGAAUUUCUGUUCCUUGGCUUAAGAAACAGCUUCUGCAGGAUAAAAACUGAAGCCAGGUUUCCUCUUAUAGCUCAAAUUCCAGCGAUAGUAAAACAAGCCAUAUAGCUACUCUCUCCAGAUCUGUAUUUAUCCCCAGGCUGUCACUAGAGGCUGUGCUGACUUACAGGGAAUGAAACCUGACGUGACCUUUCAUAUGUGGGUAAGUCAGGCCAGGCUGAUGUGAAAUACAAUCAGGCAAACGUGUAGAAAAAAUGUUUAAGUGAUUGUGAUGCCUAUGGCACUAAAUGAAACAAUAGUUUGAGAGGAUUUCAGUGAACUUUUAUGUCCUUUAACCAGGAAUGUAACACUCCUCAAAGCACAUAAAGAAAGAUGUCACCAAAAUGUGGGCAAUGUUAGCAUAAGACAGAACAAUGAUCCCUAAGAAAAAACAGCCUUCACGCUAUACCUGUCAUGCUUGUAUGGACUGACAAAAGUCACUGACUAUAGACUAGACCUCAGUUAUUUUGUCUUUAAAAAUGCCUGCCUAAGAAAUUUUAAUUUACAGCCAUAUGGUGGCUCAAAAAGCUUUAAGUCAGAGAUUUUUGACUGUGGUGAAAAGAAGAUAUUUACUGUGUUUAAAUAGAAGAAAACAGUACCUUUACUUUUAAAUACACUACUUUGAUACCGUGUUUAGCAAAAUUAAUAAUUGCCAAAGAAAUCCUGGACACUACGCCAAAGCAAACUUUUGCUCUGCAGUGAGAGUGUUUCACAUCAUCCACUUAGCUGAGUGGUCAACAGCAAAGUGUUGUCGAUCUCCAAACAUUAACCACAAGUACCUGGGCUAAUGUCUGGCUUGCUGUGGUCCAACUAUGAUGAGACGGGGAGCAGCUUCACCUGGGCCUUGGAAUUUAGGUGGAGAAAUGGCAACAUUUCACAACGUUACUACGUAGUUAACAGACCAACCUAUCUCCUUAGAGAAAGCCCCCUCCAUUAUUGUAUUUACAUUACAUUUGACAGAUAUUAUACUUGGAAAGAUUCUGAUUUACUUACUUAUUGAGACAUGCUUUGGUUUCAGGUUUGCAAGUUCUAUAAACGUGUUGACUUGGGUGAAAUAAUGGUGGUGCGUAAGUGUAAGCAAAUCCAUAAAUCUGGAAAGGAACAGGAUCCUCGAAUAAGAACAAUCAAGAAACAUUUUAAAUAGUGAAAAAAAAGAAGCACAGACAAAAUUAUUAACAGUAACAAAUGGAUGACGUAAAUGUUUACCACACAACCAUUCCUUUUGCUUUUGGUUUUCUGCAAAAUUAGCAAGUAUUAAAUAACAUUUAACUUGAGAUUUCAUUGGUAACAUGGGAGUUCUCAUACCUGUUGCUACUAAAUUCCUAGUGCUAAUAAAGCAGAAUCUCUAAAUACUUAUUGAAGUGUCUUCUACUAAACAGAAAAGGAGCUGUUACCCCUGUUGAUUAAAAGUCAACACAUACAGUGUACAUUUUCUUGACGAUCGCACUAUCUGCUGCUAUGAAUUAUAACCUAUUUUUCUUCAAUCUAAGAAUCCCAGAUUCCUUCAGCUUAUACAAUAUGUGAACAUAUUUGUGCCACCUCAAAAGUAGAUAAGCUGAAUUCUUAGAUGAUUUAUUUAUGGGAUUUCAGUCUUAACAAAUGUUGCAAAUGCAGCUCAGUAGCAGCAUGACAAGACUGUUUAAUGUAUACCCUAUAUAUUAAGAACAAAAGUAGAGAAACAAGUGACAUUUUAUUUCAGUUAUUGCUAAUGUGAAUGAUGUAUGAUAUCUAGAAGUGCAUAUAAAUGUAUGUAUACCUCAAAAAUAAAAAUGGUUUUGAAAGAAA